rnacentral:piRNA from 1 species
UGUGUCUGGGGAGGCCGAUGCAG